CGUUUGCCUCCCCUACCGUUUCUGGCAGUGAAGAUGGGAUAGCACUGACUGGGUCACUGCUUAUCACUCUCAGGGCUGAAGCUGAGAGAUCCUGGGACAUUUGACAAACGCUGGAAGUUGCCAGAUACUCAGAAUUACUGACAGCAUCCAGACAAAGAAAGAAAAAGGACAUCUGAGACACAAGGGCACUAAUUACAAACUGCUAGUACAUGAGCAACUCAGUUUACUCCUGGAUGAUGAAAACUUUCUGGAGGUGUCACACUUAGCAAGCCAUGACUUACCUAUGACACUACCUAGAAUGCAGGCAACUUCACUGGAACUGGAAAGAUAUAUGGAGUCUGGUGUAUGUUAGUAGCAAAUGAUGCAACAGUGAAAGAUGUGUCACUAUACCCAGUUAUGGUGAAGAAACAACUGUGAGCACAUGAUAUGCAAUCAAGAACCACCUUGUAAUUGUGUACCUCAUCGAUAGUGGAGGAGCAUUCUUGCUACUAUGUAAGUGAUAAUCAGAAUGAUGAAUUAUUAGUCAUUUGAUUUCUGUAUAGAUUCAUAUCAGUUGUUAUCACUGGACAUUGUUGAUGAUUUUCACUCAUGGCAGGAGGUUCAUAAUCUUUGAAUUCUGGAAAAUUGAUGAUAUUCUCUCUCAGCUAUGCUAAUUCCUAGCUAUGAAAGUAAUUAAGGGGAUUAAUUUCUUUAAGUCUGGGGUCUUUUUUCUUCAAUAAUAUGAUGGAGCUAACUAAUGAUAAUGUGGUAAUGUUUCACCUAUUUGGAAUUCUGCAAUCAGUUUCAAUAAAUAUUUUCUGAGUACUUGAUUUGGAAUAGGUAUUUUGCUGGGGGCUGGGGAUAUAAUGAUGAAUAAGGUAAGCAUGUUUGGAGCUUUUAUUUUGGUAGGAAAGAUAUAGAUUAAUUAACUAAUAAUACAUAUGUUAGAUAUUUCAGUUAAAUCAGCUGUGGGAUCAUGCACUAGGAUAUCUAACUUAGUCUAGGAAUCAGAGUGUCCUUCCUGAGGAACUGAUACUUUAGCUAAAAUUGAGGGAUGGAUAGGUGUUAACUGGGUGGAGAUGAGGACAAGGUGUAGGGGAUGGAGAUGAGCUUUACAGGUAAAUGAAAAAGUAUGUGGGGCUUUCCUGGUGGCGCAGUGAUUGAGAGCCCGCCUGCCGAUGCAGAGGACACGGGUUCGUGCCCCGGUCUGGGAGGAUCCCACAUGCCGCGGAGCGGCUGGGCCCGUGAGCUAUGGCCACUGGACCUGCGUGUCUGGAGCCU